AUUGAACGCUGGCGGCAGGCCUUACACAUGCAAGUCGAACGAGUGGCGGACGGGUGAGUCAUCUCUGGGAAACUGCCCGGUGGCGGGGGAUAACUACUGGAAACGGUAGCUAAUACCGCAUACAAUCAGAUGAGCCCAGAUCGGAUUAGCUCGUUGGUGGGGUAACGGCUCACCAAGGCCACGAUCCCUAGCUGGUUUGAGAGGAUGACCAGCCAAAUUGGGACUGAGACACGGUCCAGACUCCUACGGGAGGCAGCAGUGGGGAAUGUUGGACAAUGGGGGAAACUCUGAUGCAGCCAGGCCGCGUGUAUGAAGAAGGCCUUCGGGUUGUAAAGUACUUUCGGCGGAGAAGCGUUACCCGCAGAAGAAGCACCGGCUAACUCCGUGCCAGCAGCCGCGGUAAUAC
rnacentral:rRNA from 1 species